rnacentral:rRNA from 1 species
AUGAUGUCUUCCCGCAUGCUUUCGUCAUGGCAACGUGAGCAUAUCCUCCUCAAAAACCUCGCCGGAAAAACUUCCAGGCGCCUGCGGCUACAAAUAGGCCCCCCACAGCAACUUUGGUCCACUCCACUUAGUCCACUGCGCCUUGUUCGAUCCACGCAUGCUAUGCAUCUGCACGCAGGCGAGGUGCACCUCCAGUAUUUCAUGCCCCGCCAGCAGCAGGACGCAACCGACCUUCCGGACCUGGCAGCCAGCACCUCCUCCGCAGCCUCGCCGGCCGCCACCAUGUGGGAGUAUCACCAGGCACAUGCGGCCUUGCAGCCUUCCCCCUCCUGGAGCCCCUACACCGGGCCGUCCACGGCGGCUCUCCUCGACGGCUCGACCUUCGCUGCCGACUCGGUGGCAGGCGCGGCCGACAUGAGGCUGCCGGUCGGCGAGCACGUCCACGGCCAGGCCUGGAGCCACGACGAACUAAGCAACGACAACACCGGCUACAGGGAGAACUUCCUGGACCUGCUCGCAUCGAAGAACGUGACACAGGAGAUGUUCGAGAACGUCCCGGCCGGCCGUUAUGCUGCCGCACCAGCCGCCCUGGCGGCGCGGUUCGAGGCAGGCUCCGACGUUUCCCCGAUCAAGUACGAGGUUGCCGCCUCGCCGUUGUUCAUGGGGAGCGGUUCUAAUGCUCCGCUGGAGGCCCAGGGGAUGAACAUGAUGAGCGGCAUGCCAUCCUACGCCGACGACCACCACCAUCAGAGGAAGGAAGGCAUCAACCACCACCAGCAAGAACAUGGGAACCCCAUGGCCUCCUUUCUGCAGCACAUAAGUACUCGCACUAGUGCCGCCAUGCACGCUAGCCUGGAUUUUUCAGGCUUGGGAGCACUUGACAAGAUUUGCCAGGACAGCCGAGCAAUGGAGGCUGCGAGCCCUUUUAGCUUGAGGAGUCUGCCGGAUUUUGGCUCUCUCGGCGGCUACAAAACACCCAAGGAGUCGACGUUGGUGCCACCGUACAUGAGAUCCGCCGACAGGCCAGACAGAAGCAGACAAGAGCAAGAGAUCGUGCCCGCUAGGAGUAGUAGCAGCGGCAGUGGACCGCCGGCGGCGACUGAUCGUAAGAAGCGAACAUCCGAGGAAAGGCGGGAAAGCACUGUCAAGAAGUCCAAGCAGGAGGCAUCCACAGCAUCACCUCCUAAGCCAGUUCCUAAAGUGAAGCUGGGGGAGAAGAUCACAGCACUGCAGCAAAUCGUUUCGCCGUUUGGGAAGACAGACACAGCAUCGGUGCUGUUUGAAACGAUCAAGUAUAUCAAGUUUCUGCACGAGCAAGUACAGCUGCUGAGCGAGCCGUACACGAACGCGAGCAGGAACAAGGGUAACUGCAACAACCUUCUUCCAUGGGGGGAUCGUGCGGAGGCGAGCAAGGGGGAGGGGGAGCAUGACCUGAGGGAGAGAGGGCUUUGCUUGGUCCCUGUCUCGUGGACCCCCGAGGUGUACCGGGACGGCAACGCCAUGGACUACUGGACGCCGGCGUACAGGGGCUGCCUCUACCGGUGA